CAGUCGCCACGGGAAUACAGAGGGUGCAAGCGUUAAUCGGAAUUACUGGGCGUAAAGCGCGCGUAGGUGGUUUGUUAAGUUGGAUGUGAAAUCCCCGGGCUCAACCUGGGAACUGCAUCCAAAACUGGCAAGCUAGAGUAUGGUAGAGGGUGGUGGAAUUUCCUGUGUAGCGGUGAAAUGCGUAGAUAUAGGAAGGAACACCAGUGGCGAAGGCGACCACCUGGACUGAUACUGACACUGAGGUGCGAAAGCGUGGGGAGCAAACAGGAUUAGAUACCCGGGUAGUCCCUGUCUCUUAUAC
rnacentral:rRNA from 1 species